GACGGGGGAUGCAAGAGUUAUCCGGAAUCACUGGGCGUAAAGCGUCUGUAGGUGGUGAUGCAAGUCACUGGUGCAAAACUCUGGCUCAACCGGAGGAAAGCCAGUGAAACUGCAUGACUAGAGUGUGGGAUAGGUAGAAGGAAUUCCCUGAGUAGCGGUGAAAUGCGUAGAUACAGGGAAGAACACCGGAGGCGAAAGCGUUCUACUGGAACACAACUGACACUGAGAGACGAAAGCUAGGGGAGCGAAGGGG
rnacentral:rRNA from 1 species